GAAUUCUAAAUUUCAACAGUCUCCCAUCAUUGCUAAACCGCAAGCAAUGCAGUCUAUUGAGCAGAUAUUUGACUUCUGUUGUGCAAGUAGGAGCCUUUAUCUGAGCAAGAACUGUUUUCUGUUACAUUUUCAGAGACGCAAAAGCCUUGGUACAGUUCUUAGUAAUGACUUUCUCCUACGAUACUUGAUUGGCCAGGACAAUCAAUCUCCAUUACAAUCAAUCAGGGGGGAAUAAUAGGAUUUUUUUUAUGGCUUGCUUGUAGUUCAAACAUCAAGAGAACAGCCAUUAAUAUCUUAAGCGGGUGAUUCAGGUCUCAGUGAAAAUCAUCCUAGUUUUGAUGGUGGCCCAUUCAAAGAGUCAUUUUCAGAAGACGUUUAUCUGAGUUUCAAAUAUGACUGAAGAGUUCUAUCCAUGUUUUAUCGAAAGGAAAUGAAGGAAUGGCUUGUAUGAGACUGACCAUAAGCAAAUAACCAUUAACUGAACCAGACCGAGGGGGGAUAUUCAAAAACAGUUCUAGAUUGGUUUUCUCUGUAAUCAGUUUCCAUCCAUUGCUUCUUGUCCUGCCUUCAGGUGCUAAAGUGAUGGGUUGCCCCCGGUUCAGACCAGUUCGCAAGAACCGGUAGUAAAACCGACAGGAGGCCCUGCCCACUGCCCCAGAUGUCAUCAUCGGCGAUCUGCGCAUACACAGAAGCGAUCCUGUUGCGAACUGGUAGUAAAGUUCCUGUAUUUCCAACAUGAGACGCGAUUAGCAAAGCAAUGCAGGCCUGGAGAUUCAAACACACAAGCCUCAUCUUUAAAAGCCACAUGCAAUGCAGGUUAAUGUUCCAUAUGAAGGAUGACUGAAUGCAGCUAGACAUCGACUUCUGACCACAAUUAAACUCAAAAUUUAUGUUGCUAAACAAGACAAUCGCUAAGUGAGUUUUGCCCUAUUUCAUAAUCCUUCUUGCGCAGUUGCUAAAUAAAUCACUGCAAUUGGUAAGUUUCUAA